CUACGGGACGCUCCAGUGGGGAAUAUUGCACAAUGGAGGAAACUCUGAUGCAGCAACGCCGCGUGGAGGAUGACACUUUUCGGAGCGUAAACUCCUUUUAUAUAGGAAGAUAAUGACGGUACUAUAUGAAUAAGCACCGGCUAACUCCGUACCAGCAGCCGCGGUAAUACGGAGGGUGCAAGCGUUACUCGGAAUCACUGGGCGUAAAGAGCGUGUAGGCGGGUUAAUAAGUCAGAAGUGAAAUCCUAUGGCUCAACCAUAGAACUGCUUUUGAAACUGUUAACCUAGAAUAUGGGAGAGGUAGAUGGAAUUUCUGGUGUAGGGGUAAAAUCCGUAGAGAUCAGAAGGAAUACCGAUUGCGAAGGCGAUCUACUGGAACAUUACUGACGCUGAGACGCGAAAGCGUGGGGAGCAAACAGGAUUAGAUACCCCCGUAGUC
rnacentral:rRNA from 1 species